rnacentral:rRNA from 1 species
GACGAACGCUGGCGGCGCGCCUAACACAUGCAAGUCGAACGAGCGAGAGAGAGCUUGCUUUCUCGAGCGAGUGGCGAACGGGUGAGUAACGCGUGAGGAACCUGCCUCAAAGAGGGGGACAACAGUUGGAAACGACUGCUAAUACCGCAUAAGCCCACGACCCGGCAUCGGGUUGAGGGAAAAGGAGCAAUCCGCUUUGAGAUGGCCUCGCGUCCGAUUAGCUAGUUGGUGAGGUAACGGCCCACCAAGGCAACGAUCGGUAGCCGGACUGAGAGGUUGAACGGCCACAUUGGGACUGAGACACGGCCCAGACUCCUACGGGAGGCAGCAGUGGGGAAUAUUGCACAAUGGGGGAAACCCUGAUGCAGCGACGCCGCGUGGAGGAAGAAGGUCUUCGGAUUGUAAACUCCUGUUGUUGAGGAAGAUAAUGACGGUACUCAACAAGGAAGUGACGGCUA